rnacentral:tRNA from 1 species
AAAAACUUAGUUAAAAAAAUAACAUUAGAUUGUCAAACUAAAAUCACUAAUAAUAGUAGUUUUUA